CAAUAGCGUAUAUUAAAGUUGUUGCAGUUAAAAGCUCGUAGUUGGAUUUGUGGCAGUCGCGUGCGGCCCGACACUUGUUGUUGGUGCUUGCUUGCGUCGCCAUCCUUGGGUGGAACCUGUGUGGCAUUAGGUUGUCGUGCAGGGGAUGCCCAUCGUUUACUGUGAAAAAUUAGAGUGUUCAAAGCAGGCGAUCGCUUGAAUACAUUAGCAUGGAAUAAUAGAAUAGGACUUUGGUUCUAUUUUGUUGGUUUCUAGGACCGAAGUAAUGAUUAAUAGGGACAGUUGGGGGCAUUAGUAUUUAAUUGUCAGAGGUGAAAUUCUUGGAUUUAUGAAAGACUAACUACUGCGAAAGCAUUUGCCAAGGAUGUUUUCAUUAAUCAAGAACGAAAGUUAGGGGAUCGAAGAUGAUCAGAU
rnacentral:rRNA from 1 species